rnacentral:rRNA from 1 species
AGUGAACGCUGGCGGUAUGCCUAACACAUGCAAGUCGAACGGCAGCACAGUAAGAGCUUGCUCUUACGGGUGGCGAGUGGCGGACGGGUGAGGAAUACAUCGGAAUCUACUUUUUCGUGGGGGAUAACGUAGGGAAACUUACGCUAAUACCUCAUACGACCUACGGGUGAAAGCAGUGGAUCUUCGGACCUUGCGCGAUUGAAUUAGCCGAUGCCGGAUUAGCUAGUUGGCGGGGUAAAGGCCCACCAAGGCAACGAUCCGUAGCUGAUCUGAGAGGAUGAUCAGCCACACUGGAACUGAGACACGGUCCAGACUCCUACGGGAGGCAGCAGUGGGGAAUAUUGGACAAUGGGCGAAAGCCUGAUCCAGCCAUACCGCGUGGGUGAAGAAGGCCUUCGGGUUGUAAAGCCCUUUUGUUGGGAAAGAAAAGCAGCAGGUUAAUACCCCGCUGUUCUGACGGUACCCAAAGAAUAAGCACCGGCUAACUUCGUG